ACACAUGCAAGUCGAGCGGAAACGAGUUAUCUGACCCUUCGGGUGACGAUAACGGCGUCGAGCGGCGGACGGGUGAGUAAUGCCUGGGAAAUUGCCCUGAUGUGGGGGAUAACCAUUGGAAACGAUGGCUAAUACCGCAUAAUAGCUUCGGCUCAAAGAGGGGGACCUUCGGGCCUCUCGCGUCAGGAUAUGCCCAGGUGGGAUUAGCUAGUUGGUGAGGUAAGGGCUCACCAAGGCGACGAUCCCUAGCUGGUCUGAGAGGAUGAUCAGCCACACUGGAACUGAGACACGGUCCAGACUCCUACGGGAGGCAGCAGUGGGGAAUAUUGCACAAUGGGCGCAAGCCUGAUGCAGCCAUGCCGCGUGUAUGAAGAAGGCCUUCGGGUUGUAAAGUACUUUCAGCAGUGAGGAAGGUAGUAGUGUUAAUAGCACUAUUAUUUGACGUUAGCUGCAGAAGAAGCACCGGCUAACUCCGUGCCAGCAGCCGCGGUAAUACGGAGGGUGCGAGCGUUAAUCGGAAUUACUGGGCGUAAAGCGCAUGCAGGUGGAUGAUUAAGUCAGAUGUGAAAGCCCGGGGCUCAACCUCGGAAUAGCAUUUGAAACUGGUUAUCUAGAGUACUGUAGAGGGGGGUAGAAUUUCAGGUGUAGCGGUGAAAUGCGUAGAGAUCUGAAGGAAUACCGGUGGCGAAGGCGGCCCCCUGGACAGAUACUGACACUCAGAUGCGAAAGCGUGGGGAGCAAACAGGAUUAGAUACCCUGGUAGUCCACGCCGUAAACGAUGUCUACUUGGAGGUUGUGGCCUUGAGCCGUGGCUUUCGGAGCUAACGCGUUAAGUAGACCGCCUGGGGAGUACGGUCGCAAGAUUAAAACUCAAAUGAAUUGACGGGGGCCCGCACAAGCGGUGGAGCAUGUGGUUUAAUUCGAUGCAACGCGAAGAACCUUACCUACUCUUGACAUCCAUAGAACUUUCCAGAGAUGGAUUGGUGCCUUCGGGAACUAUGAGACAGGUGCUGCAUGGCUGUCGUCAGCUCGUGUUGUG
rnacentral:rRNA from 1 species